rnacentral:rRNA from 1 species
UGGGGGAUAUUGCACAAUGGGCGAAAGCCUGAUUCAGCGACGCCGCGUGGGGGAUGAAGGCCUUCGGGUUGUAAACUUCUUUUGCUCUGAACAAGGCAUGCCCUUGGGGUGUGUUGAGUGUAGGGGUUGAUUAGCGCCGGCUAACUACGUGCCAGCAGCCGCGGUAAUACGUAGGGCUCGAGCGUUGUCCGGAAUUAUUGGGCGUAAAGGGCUUGUAGGUGGCUGGUUGCGUCUGUCGUGAAAGCUCAUGGCUUAACUGUGGGUUUGCGGUGGGUACGGGCUGGCUUGAGUGCAGUAGGGGGGGCUGGAAUUCCUGGUGUAGCGGUGGAAUGCGCAGAUAUCAGGAGGAAUACCGGUGGCGAAGGCGGGUCUCUGGGCUGUUACUGACGCUGAGGAGCGAAAGCGUGGGGAGCGAACAGG